UGCCAGCAGCCGCGGUAAUACGAAGGUCCCAAGCGUUGUUCGGAAUCACUGGGCGUAAAGCGUGUGUAGGCUGCGCGGAAAGUCAAAUGUGAAAGCCCAGGGCUCAACCUCGGAACUGCAUUCGAUACUCCCGUGCUAGAGUAAUGGAGAGGUAAGUGGAAUUCCUGGUGUAGCAGUGAAAUGCGUGGAUAUCAGGAGGAACAUCAAUGGCGAAGGCGGCUCACUGGCUCGAUACUGACGCUGAGGUGCGAAAGCGUGGGGAGCAAACAGGAUUAGAUA
rnacentral:rRNA from 1 species